rnacentral:rRNA from 1 species
UGGGGAAUUUUGGACAAUGGGCGAAAGCCUGAUCCAGCAAUGCCGCGUGUGUGAAGAAGGCCUUCGGGUUGUAAAGCACUUUUGUCCGGAAAGAAAUCCUUGGCUCUAAUACAGUCGGGGGAUGACGGUACCGGAAGAAUAAGCACCGGCUAACUACGUGCCAGCAGCCGCGGUAAUACGUAGGGUGCAAGCGUUAAUCGGAAUUACUGGGCGUAAAGCGUGCGCAGGCGGUUUGCUAAGACCGAUGUGAAAUCCCCGGGCUCAACCUGGGAACUGCAUUGGUGACUGGCAGGCUAGAGUAUGGCAGAGGGGGGUAGAAUUCCACGUGUAGCAGUGAAAUGCGUAGAGAUGUGGAGGAAUACCGAUGGCGAAGGCAGCCCCCCUGGGCCAAUACUGACGCUCAUGCACGAAAGCGUGGGGAGCAAACAGGAUUAGAUACCCUGGUAGUCCACGCCCUAAACGAUGUCAACUAGUUGUUGGGGAUUCAUUUCCUUAGUAACGUAGCUAACGCGUG